UAGCGGCAGGCUUAACACAUGCAAGUCGAGGGGUAUAGUUCUUCGGAAUUAGAGACCGGCGCGACGGGUGCGUAACGCGUAUGCAAUCUACCUUUCACAGAGGGAUAGCCCAGAGAAAUUUGGAUUAAUACCUCAUAGUAUAGCAGUUUCGCAUGAAACCACUAUUAAAGUUCCAACGGUGAAAGAUGAGCAUGCGUCCCAUUAGCUAGAUGGUAAGGUAACGGCUUACCAUGGCUACGAUGGGUAGGGGUCCUGAGAGGGAGAUCCCCCCACACUGGUACUGAGACACGGACCAGACUCCUACGGGAGGCAGCAGUGAGGAAUAUUGGACAAUGGGCGCAAGCCUGAUCCAGCCAUGCCGCGUGCAGGAUGACGGUCCUAUGGAUUGUAAACUGCUUUUAUACAGGAAGAAACACUCCGACGUGUCGGAGCUUGACGGUACUGUAAGAAUAAGGAUCGGCUAACUCCGUG
rnacentral:rRNA from 1 species